UGGGGAAUUUUGGACAAUGGGCGCAAGCCUGAUCCAGCCAUGCCGCGUGCGGGAAGAAGGCCUUCGGGUUGUAAACCGCUUUUGUCAGGGAAGAAAAGCCUUGGGUUAAUACCCUGGGGUGAUGACGGUACCUGAAGAAUAAGCACCGGCUAACUACGUGCCAGCAGCCGCGGUAAUACGUAGGGUGCAAGCGUUAAUCGGAAUUACUGGGCGUAAAGCGUGCGCAGGCGGUUGUGCAAGACAGGUGUGAAAUCCCCGGGCUUAACCUGGGAACUGCACUUGUGACUGCACGGCUUGAGUGCGGCAGAGGGGGAUGGAAUUCCGCGUGUAGCAGUGAAAUGCGUAGAUAUGCGGAGGAACACCGAUGGCGAAGGCAAUCCCCUGGGCCUGCACUGACGCUCAUGCACGAAAGCGUGGGGAGCAAACA
rnacentral:rRNA from 1 species